UACGGAGGGUGCAAGCGUUAAUCGGAAUUACUGGGCGUAAAGCGCGCGUAGGUGGCUUGAUAAGCCGGUUGUGAAAGCCCCGGGCUCAACCUGGGAACGGCGUCCGGAACUGUAAAGCUAGAGUGCAGGAGAGGCAGGUAGAAUUCCCGGUGUAGCGGUGAAAUGCGUAGAGAUCGGGAGGAAUACCAGUGGCGAAGGCGACCAGCUGGACUAAUACUGACACUGAGGUGCGAAAGCGAGGGGAGCGAACGGG
rnacentral:misc_RNA from 1 species